UACGUAGGGGGCUAGCGUUGUCCGGAUUUAUUGGGCGUAAAGAGCGUGUAGGCGGCCAGGUAGGUCUGCUGUGAAAACUCGAGGCUCAACCUCGAGACGUCGGCGGAAACCAUCUGGCUAGAGUCCGGAAGAGGAGAGUGGAAUUCCUGGUGUAGCGGUGGAAUGUGUAGAUAUCAGGAAGAACAUCUGUGGCGAAGGCGGCUUGCUGGGCCAGUACUGACGCUGAGGGACGAAAGCGUGGGGAGCAAACGGG
rnacentral:rRNA from 1 species